UUCUUUUCCUGGUCUACCAAACUCAGAAGUUGAUGGCCUGGAUGAUCAUUAAACCUCUACUCUCCUCCUGCUAGCUCUUCCCCUAUUGCUGAUAUUCUUUAUUGUUGUGUAAUCAAAGCUCCAAACCAAAGUUCCAAACUUGAGUCCAAAUAUCAAGCUACUCAUACUUCUCUGCCAUCUCCCCUCGGAUCUUUGCCCUGGUAUAUGGUUCAUGGAUGCCAAAGACCCAAUGUUAUACCCUAUGGAAGCCAACUAGGAAGAGAGCAUCUUGCAUCAGAGUUGAUACCCUAGAAUCAAGUUAUUGAAUAUAAUUACUUCUGGACAUCUGCAAACUGUGGACUGCAGCUUCAAGAAAACUCAGGAGUAUCAGGAGCAAGUAAAGCAUAAUAUCACACAGCACAGAAAGGAAGUUAGACAAAGAAGGAGACGGGGAGGCUAAUUGUGGAUAUAUUGUUUUGGUGCUGGUGGAGCGAACUCACGCCCCUAGCCAGCCUUCUCAGCGACUCGUGCCAAGAGAGCUCGUACACCAGCACCGCCCCUUUAACAGAUUUCAACUGCAGACAUUUUUUAACUUUUUAAAGUUCUGGAGGCCAGAAGUCUGAAACCAAGGUAUCGCCUGGACCACACCUACUCCAAAGGCUCUAGAAGAGAAUCCAUUCCUGGUCUUGUCCAGCUUCUGAUGGCUAUCAACAUUCCUCAGUUUGUGGCUGUAUCACUUCAUCUUUACAUUGCCUUCUUCCCCUCUAUGUGUUUCUAUUCUCCUCCUGACCUUUUUUUAUAAGAACACUCAUGAUGGCAUUUAGGGCCCACCCGAAUAAUCCAGGAUAAUCUGCUUAUCUCAAAAUUCUUAAUUCAAUUACAUCUGCAAGGACCUUUUUGCCAAGUAAGGUACAUUCACAGGCUCCUGACAUGAGAAAAUGGGCAUGUUUUGGGGAGCCAUUAUUGACCUACCAAUAAUUCCACUCCUCAGUAUGUAGGGUCACCAAAACAUAAAACGCAUUGAGUUGUAAACUUGUGACUGAUUACUUUUUCCUGUGUGUAUUUAUAGUUCAAUGAAAAGAAAAGGAAAACCCUAUGGUCCUUUUUGUAUAUUAUUAGUUAAUAUCUAAAAGUUUUCACUGUAAGUGUAAAU